rnacentral:rRNA from 1 species
GACGAACGCUGGCGGCGUGCUUAACACAUGCAAGUCGAACGGAAAGGCCCUGCUUUUGUGGGGUGCUCGAGUGGCGAACGGGUGAGUAACACGUGAGUAACCUGCCCUUGACUUUGGGAUAACUUCAGGAAACUGGGGCUAAUACCGGAUAGGAACUCCUGCUGCAUGGUGGGGGUUGGAAAGUUUCGGCGGUUGGGGAUGGACUCGCGGCUUAUCAGCUUGUUGGUGGGGUAGUGGCUUACCAAGGCUUUGACGGGUAGCCGGCCUGAGAGGGUGAACGGCCACAAUGGGACUGAGAUACGGCCCAGAAUCCUACGGGAGGCAACAGUGGGGAAUAUUGCGCAAUGGGGGGAAGCCUGAUGCAGAAACGCCGCGUGCGGGAUGACGGCCUUCGGGUUGUAAACCGCUUUCGACUGUGACGAAGAGUGAGUGACGGUAAUGGGUAAAGAAGCAACGGCUAACUACGUG